rnacentral:lncRNA from 1 species
GAUUAAUCUUUCAAAUUGUGAUAAUUUCAUUAUGACAUAAUUAUUACAUAAUUAAUUGUUAUGUAAUUAGUUGCCAUUCUGUGAUGUCCAUACUUGAAUGAAUUUAGCUUCUUUGUUCUUCAUAGCGUCCUAAAAAAUUCUAUAGAUUCUUGCACAACACAGUUUGACCUCCAAAACUGUGUCUCAGAUUUUUCCUAUUGUAUUUCAUUCUCUCAUAAAUCUUCAAUGAAGUUUGCAACAUCAAUUCAUUAGAGACCACUAAGUUCAAUUGG